rnacentral:rRNA from 1 species
GACGAACGCUGGCGGCGUGCCUAAUACAUGCAAGUAGAACGCUGAAGGAGGAGCUUGCUUCUCCGGAUGAGUUGCGAACGGGUGAGUAACGCGUAGGUAACCUGCCUGGUAGCGGGGGAUAACUAUUGGAAACGAUAGCUAAUACCGCAUAACAGUAGAUAUUGCGUGAUAUCUGCUUGAAAGGUGCAAUUGCAUCACUACCAGAUGGACCUGCGUUGUAUUAGCUAGUUGGUGAGGUAACGGCUCACCAAGGCGACGAUACAUAGCCGACCUGAGAGGGUGAUCGGCCACACUGGGACUGAGACACGGCCCAGACUCCUACGGGAGGCAGCAGUAGGGAAUCUUCGGCAAUGGACGGAAGUCUGACCGAGCAACGCCGCGUGAGUGAAGAAGGUUUUCGGAUCGUAAAGCUCUGUUGUAAGAGAAGAACGAGUGUGAGAGUGGAAAGUUCACACUGUGACGGUAUCUUACCAGAAAGGGACGGCUAACUACGUG